rnacentral:lncRNA from 1 species
UUUAUAAGCAUCUGGCAUUUCCCCUGCUUCCCCUGCUCACUUUGUCCUGACACCCUGUGAAAAAGGUCCUUGCUUCUCCUUUUCUUUCCACCAUGACGGAGAUCACUGGUCAUGAGCUUUUGACUUGCUGUUGACUUGCCCUGACUUGCCACAGGGUGGCAAGAGCAGGCCCUCCUCUUCCCGUGAUGGCAUCCUUUGUCAUGUGAGGUGCAGAUCUGCCCAGCAUCUGAGUCUCUAAUUACCUACUUAGAAGAAGUUCCCCCGACUAACCCCACGGCCACGAGAAGGUGGAAUACCAUUCCCUGUGGCUGGAGCACUGGGCAAGGAGCAGAUGGGGCCCUUUGGAGAAAAGUUGGAUUGUUACCAAUGAGACCUGGGAGGAAGCCAGGAGGCAAAGGCCCGGAACUCAGUGCUGAAGUUGCAUGGCUGUCAAUGGCCACUAGAGGAUGCCAGAGCCCGAGAUUGGGGAGCCCAAAAAGGCACCAUCUCCUCCAACCGCCUGGAGAAUUACUGGCAGCUAAGAAGUGAAAGCAAUAGACAGGGUGGCAAUAGACCAUAAGGAAGUACUGUUCUGCCUGACCAUGUGGAGGGGGACAAGCAGGAUCUCAAAGUAUCCAGAGCCUUAAGGCACAAUGGACCAAGUAACUUCUUACUUUAUCUAAGGGCAAUGACUGAGCUGUUUGAGAAAAACACUAGUCCUAAAGGACUCGUGGGAAGGAUGAUGGCCCCCACCUCAUUGGAGCCCAGGACUGAAGGAAGUGUCGAAAGCAGCCAGCUGAUAUCAAGGGAUCAACAGUGGGACAUUUCCACUGUGGGUAUCUCUGAGAAACCCACAGCAUUGAAGAGUCAGCUUGGAACAUCUAGAUCGCGAUACUACCAGUAGACAAUACCAAGUCCCUUUUCUACAGACCUAGCCCUGAAGCAAGAAAGUGAGCAAAUGAGGGAGAAGUUGACCACGUCUCUAUGACCUAUUGCAGACUUUCAUGACUAGAGCUGACCCAAGCCUGCAGAAGGAAAAAACUAAGUAAGAUGGAGUUUGGAGUUCUCAUUAUCACACUGGAUUGGGUCUCUAAAUGUCAAAAACAAAAAGACAGUUUAUGUGUUACCUACAAGUGAUCUAAAGAACUGUGAGACUUGUCCAAGAUUUCACCCAAGGGCAAGGAAUGGUCUGUUUGAUGGAGCAAGUUCACUGAGGAGUGGUGACAUAGUAUAAAUGUGUUUUAUAAUUGUAUUCUACUAAGCUCAGCCCAUUCAGUAUAAUUGUUGCAUUAAAAUCAGAUGAAUUUUGAAACAAGAUGAAAGUAUUAAAUAACACCAAGAGGGAUUUUUACAUUAAUGAACUAAUGACCUUUAUAACAAUGUUACUCCUUCCUUUGUCCUUCCCUGCUAGCUCUCCUUCAGUCCACUAAGGAGAUUUUCCUUUCUCUCGCCUCCUUGAGCUUCCUAUUUGCCUCAUACUCUACUCAUUCUACCAACAUAAUAUGAACUCCACCUCCCCUUGUCUCUCUUGUGGUCAGAAGCCCUUCUCUCCCUACAUGUCCUUUACCCAUAAGAAUUAAAGGGUGGCUUCAUCAAUGCGCUGCUGUGUGGCCUUGAGGAAGUUACCUACCUUCACUGGAUUUCAACUGAUCAUCUGUUAAGUGCAGAGAAAAUUUUCCCCUUUGAAGAUUAGAUAAAAUAAUGCUUGUAAAUUGAGUAAACUGGCAUAUGGCACAUAAUAAUAAAUGGUAUUAACAGUUA